GCGUUCUGAUUGGGCGGGGCGGCACGGCGUAGCGUGGUUUAAAAAUACAAAGGGAGGCAGGAGGGCGCUGAGAGGAAUCGGUCGGGGGCGGCGGGCGGCCUGCGGCGGCGCCGCAGACCGCCGCCGCAGACCGCCGCCGCCCCCCCUGGGGCUUCAUCGAGCAUCGUUUUGAGGUGAAAAAACGACGUUUCCCCCCAAUAAUUUAGUCAGGUUUGUGGGGAUUUGGCACUCCGAACGCUCUCCCCCCACCCUUGCAGAAUCACCUCAGAGCGCAGAGGAAGAAGCCAGGCCCGCAAGCUUUGAAAAUGCCUGUUUCUUGGAAAGUGCUGUUUUGUUUGGUGAAUUGAGCUGCCAGCCAGUUCAUGGAAAAAAAAUACUUUGGAACAGUCUUUGGAAAUUAUGGGAUAUGACUGCAGAGGGACUUCCCCUGUUGCAUCUGUUUUCAUCUCUGCUGUAAGAAUGUGAAGAAAGUGAUUGUGGAAGAGCAGGGCACGAUGCUGUUCCUGUGCAGACGAAACCACAAACUCUGUCCCCAGAGAUCCCCUGGCUGGUGCUCUCCUAAAAUCUGGGAUCGGCGCGGCACUGACUCCGGUGGGUCCGC
rnacentral:lncRNA from 1 species